rnacentral:rRNA from 1 species
GACGAACGCUGGCGGCGUGCCUAAUACAUGCAAGUAGAACGCUGAAGAGAGGAGCUUGCUCUUCUUGGAUGAGUUGCGAACGGGUGAGUAACGCGUAGGUAACCUGCCUGGUAGCGGGGGAUAACUAUUGGAAACGAUAGCUAAUACCGCAUAAAAUUGAUUAUUGCAUGAUAAUUAAUUGAAAGAUGCAAUUGCAUCACUACCAGAUGGACCUGCGUUGUAUUAGCUAGUUGGUGAGGUAACGGCUCACCAAGGCGACGAUACAUAGCCGACCUGAGAGGGUGAUCGGCCACACUGGGACUGAGACACGGCCCAGACUCCUACGGGAGGCAGCAGUAGGGAAUCUUCGGCAAUGGGGGGAACCCUGACCGAGCGACGCCGCGUGAGUGAAGAAGGUUUUCGGAUCGUAAAGCUCUGUUGUAAGAGAAGAACGGGUGUGAGAGUGGAAAGUUCACACUGUGACGGUAUCUUACCAGAAAGGGACGGCUAACUACGUGCCAGCAGCCGCGGUAAUACGUAGGUCCCGAGCGUUGUCCGGAUUUAUUGGGCGUAAAGCGAGCGCAAGGCGGUUAGAUUAGUCUGAAGUUAAAGGCUGUGGCUUAACCAUAUCAUGCUUUGGAAACUGUUUAACUUUGAGCGCAGAAGGGGGAGAGUGGAAUUCCCAUGUGUAGCGGUGAAAUGCGUAGAUAUAUGGAGGAACACCGGUGGCGAAAGCGGCUCUCUGGUCUGUAACUGACGCUGAGGCUCGAAAGCGUGGGGAGCAAACAGGAUUAGAUACCCGGGUAGUCCACGCCGUAAACGAUGAGUGCUAGGUGUUAGGCCCUUUCCGGGGCUUAGUGCCGCAGCUAACGCAUUAAGCACUCCGCCUGGGGAGUACGACCGCAAGGUUGAAACUCAAAGGAAUUGACGGGGGCCCGCACAAGCGGUGGAGCAUGUGGUUUAAUUCGAAGCAACGCGAAGAACCUUACCAGGUCUUGACAUCCCUCUGAUCGCUCUAGAGAUAGAGUUUUCCUUCGGGACAGAGGUGACAGGUGGUGCAUGGUUGUCGUCAGCUCGUGUCGUGAGAUGUUGGGUUAAGUCCCGCAACGAGCGCAACCCCUAUUGUUAGUUGCCAUCAUUCAGUUGGGCACUCUAGCGAGACUGCCGGUAAUAAACCGGAGGAAGGUGGGGAUGACGUCAAAUCAUCAUGCCCCUUAUGACCUGGGCUACACACGUGCUACAAUGGCUGGUACAACGAGUCGCAAGCCGGUGACGGCAAGCUAAUCUCUGAAAGCCAGUCUCAGUUCGGAUUGUAGGCUGCAACUCGCCUACAUGAAGUCGGAAUCGCUAGUAAUCGCGGAUCAGCACGCCGCGGUGAAUACGUUCCCGGGCCU